GAUGAACGCUGGCGGCGUGCCUAAUACAUGCAAGUCGAGCGAACAGACGAGGAGCUUGCUCCUCUGACGUUAGCGGCGGACGGGUGAGUAACACGUGGAUAACCUACCUAUAAGACUGGGAUAACUUCGGGAAACCGGAGCUAAUACCGGAUAAUAUAUUGAACCGCAUGGUUCAAUAGUGAAAGACGGUUUUGCUGUCACUUAUAGAUGGAUCCGCGCCGCAUUAGCUAGUUGGUAAGGUAACGGCUUACCAAGGCAACGAUGCGUAGCCGACCUGAGAGAGUGAUCGGCCACACUGGAACUGAGACACGGUCCAGACUCCUACGGGAGGCAGCAGUAGGGAAUCUUCCGCAAUGGGCGGAAGCCUGACGGAGCGACGCCGCGUGAGUGAUGAAGGUCUUCGGAUCGGAAAACUCUGUUAUUAGGGAAGAACAAAUGUGUAAGUAACUAUGCACGUCUUGACGGUACCUAAUCAGAAAGCCACGGCUAACUACGUG
rnacentral:rRNA from 1 species